rnacentral:rRNA from 1 species
AUCCAGACUCCUACGGGAGGCAGCAGUGGGGAAUAUUGCACAAUGGGGGAAACCCUGAUGCAGCGACGCCGCGUGAGUGAAGAAGUAAUUCGUUAUGUAAAGCUCUAUCAGCAGGGAAGAAAAUGACGGUACCUGAAGAAGAAGCCCCGGCUAACUACGUGCCAGCAGCCGCGGUAAUACGUAGGGGGCAAGCGUUAUCCGGAUUUACUGGGUGUAAAGGGGGCGCAGACGGCGAUGCAAGCCAGGAGUGAAAGCCCGGGGCCCAACCCCGGGACUGCUCUUGGAACUGCGUGGCUGGAGUGCAGGAGGGGCAGGCGGAAUUUCUGGUAUAGCGGUGAAAUGCGUAGAUAUCAGGAGGAACACCGGUGGCGCAGGCGGCUUGCUGGACGGCAACUGACGCUGAGGCUCGAAAGCGUGGGGAGCAAACAGGAUUAGAUACCCGUGUAAA